rnacentral:rRNA from 1 species
UACGUAGGGGGCAAGCGUUGUCCGGAAUUACUGGGCGUAAAGCGUGCGUAGACGGCUAUCUAAGUCGGGUGUGAAAGCCCCGGGCUCAACCUGGGAAUUGCAUUCGAGACUGAAUAGCUAGGGUACGGUAGAGGGAAGCGGAAUUUCCGGUGUAGCGGUGAAAUGCGUAGAUAUCGGAAGGAACAUCAGUGGCGAAAGCGGCUUCCUGGACCAGUACCGACGUUCAGGCACGAAAGCGUGGGGAGCAAACAGG